rnacentral:misc_RNA from 1 species
AAGUCGUAACAAGGUAUCCGUAGGUGAACCUGCGGAUGGAUCAUUAACACGUUUUUACGUCUAUUCACCAACUGUGCAUUCGAUCGAAUUCCGCAUGGUUUUCGAUUGUUUUUCACUUUUUUCACCAAAUGUUUAUGCAUUAGUUGUUUUCAUAGACUUAUGAUAUAUGAGUCUAUCGAUGUUUUCUACUUGAUGUAGAAAUCUUGAUACAAUUGACAUACAACUCUUAGCAAUGGAUAUCUUGGUUCUC